rnacentral:rRNA from 1 species
UACGGGGGGAGCAAGCGUUGUUCGGAUUUACUGGGCGUAAAGGGCGCGUAGGCGGCCGUGCAAGUCGGUUGUGAAAUCUCCGGGCUUAACUCGGAACGGUCAACUGAUACUGCUCGGCUAGAGUGCGGAAGGGGCAACUGGAAUUCUUGGUGUAGCGGUGAAAUGCGUAGAUAUCAAGAGGAACACCUGCGGCGAAGGCGGGUUGCUGGGCCGACACUGACGCUGAGGCGCGAAAGCCAGGGGAGCGAACGGG